GGAGAGGUGACCGAGUGGCUGAAGGUGCACGCCUGGAAAGCGUGUGUGCGUUAACGCGUACCGAGGGUUCGAAUCCCUCCCUCUCCGCCA
rnacentral:tRNA from 1 species